rnacentral:rRNA from 1 species
CAGCAGCCGCGGGAAUGCGUAGGGUGCGAGCGUUAAUCGGAAUUACUGGGCGUAAAGCGUGCACAGGCGGUUAUAUAAGACAGAUGUGAAAUCCCCGGGCUCAACCUGGGACCUGCAUUUGUGACUGUAUAGCUAGAGUACGGUAGAGGGGGAUGGAAUUCCGCGUGUAGCAGUGAAAUGCGUAGAUAUGCGGAGGAACACCGAUGGCGAAGGCGAUCCCCUGGACCUGUACUGACGCUCAUGCACGAAAGCGUGGGGAGCAAACAGGAUUAGAUACCCGCGUAGUCCCUGUCUCUUAUAC